GUGCCUGCUUUGGCAGCACAUAUACUAAAGUUGGAACGAUACAGAGAAGAUUAGUAUGGCUUCUGAGCAAGGAUGACACACAAAUUCGUGAAGUGUUCCAUAUUUUU
ensembl:snRNA U6 U6 spliceosomal RNA